AGCAUUGGUGAGAUGAACAAUGAGAAGCAUAACACUGGCCAUGUGCGUGUGUUUGGGUCCAUCCUUAACGACUUGCUUUCAUAAAGACACCUGUUCAAAUCAGUGAACCAAAUCCCUCUCCAGAUGGCUGGGUACCUCCAAAGGUGUUUCAGAUAUAAAAGAUUAAGACAGAUUUCUUAAUAUCAGUCAACUGUACUGCCCUAAUAAACACACAACCUAAGAUUUUUGUUUGUUUGUGUUUUAGUCUGAAUGUCUGUAUCAGGUUGGGCUCUCUAAGAAACAGAUUUUGAAUCUGAAUUUAUGCAGGAUGUUCAUUGGGGAUACACUCUGGUUCACCUAGGAAUAGGCACAGGGAAGGUGAAUCUAAUGCAGUCACAGCGAAAGUCAUGCCAGAAAGGGACUCAGCUGAGAGCUGCCAGCCACGCGCACUUUGCAGUUGGAGGAAUAAAUGCCUCAGUCCUGAAGGGGAAUCCAGGCUGUACCUCACGGCAUGUAAUACAGUGGAAGUCACUACAAUGGAGAUAAAGUUGAUUGGCCUUCCAUCCAUAGUAUAUCCAGAAAGUAGAUCCAAAUUAUAUAAGAAGAUUGUAAAAUAAUGGGUAUAUAUUUUUUUUCUUUUUAACUCACUGUUUUCACAAUGAAUUGAGCAGUGUUCACACUGUGCAAAUCACUAAUAUAUAUUAACUACCCUCUUUUUUGCUAGAUAUUAUAAGUGCCAGAACUACAAAAAAAUAAAAUAAAAAUAAAACGAAGUCCUGGUCCACCAGGGGUUCAAAUUCUAGUGAACAAA